rnacentral:rRNA from 1 species
UCCUACGGGAGGCAGCAGUAGGGAAUCUUCCGCAAUGGACGAAAGUCUGACGGAGCAACGCCGCGUGAGUGAUGAAGGUUUUCGGAUCGUAAAACUCUGUUGUUAGGGAAGAACAAGUAUCGUUCGAAUAGGGCGGUACCUUGACGGUACCUAACCAGAAAGCCACGGCUAACUACGUGCCAGCAGCCGCGGUA